CAUGCCGGUCGAAGAUACCAGGCCGCUGCGACUGUUUAUUAAAAACACAGCACUCUGCAAACACGAAAGUGGACGUAUAGGGUGUGACGCCUGCCCGGUGCCGGAAGGUUAAUUGAUGGGGUUAGCGCAAGCGAAGCUCUUGAUCGAAGCCCCGGUAAACGGCGGCCGUAACUAUAACGGUCCUAAGGUAGCGAAAUUCCUUGUCGGGUAAGUUCCGACCUGCACGAAUGGCGUAACGAUGGCGGCGCUGUCUCCACCCGAGACUCAGUGAAAUUGAAAUCGCUGUGAAGAUGCAGUGUAUCCGCGGCUAGACGGAAAGACCCCGUGAACCUUUACUAUAGCUUUGCACUGGACUUUGAGCUUGCUUGUGUAGGAUAGGUGGGAGGCUUUGAAGCGUGGACGCCAGUUCGCGUGGAGCCAUCCUUGAAAUACCACCCUGGCAACCUUGAGGUUCUAACUCUGGUCCGUUAUCCGGAUCGAGGACAGUGUAUGGUGGGUAGUUUGACUGGGGCGGUCUCCUCCUAAAGAGUAACGGAGGAGUACGAAGGUGCGCUCAGACCGGUCGGAAAUCGGUCGCAGAGUAUAAAGGCAAAAGCGCGCUUGACUGCGAGACAGACACGUCGAGCAGGUACGAAAGUAGGUCUUAGUGAUCCGGUGGUUCUGUAUGGAAGGGCCAUCGCUCAACGGAUAAAAGGUACUCCGGGGAUAACAGGCUGAUACCGCCCAAGAGUUCAUAUCGACGGCGGUGUUUGGCACCUCGAUGUCGGCUCAUCACAUCCUGGGGCUGAAGCCGGUCCCAAGGGUAUGGCUGUUCGCCAUUUAAAGUGGUACGCGAGCUGGGUUUAGAACGUCGUGAGACAGUUCGGUCCCUAUCUGCCGUGGACGUUUGAGAUUUGAGAGGGGCUGCUCCUAGUACGAGAGGACCGGAGUGGACGAACCUCUGGUGUUCCGGUUGUCACGCCAGUGGCAUUGCCGGGUAGCUAUGUUCGGAAGAGAUAACCGCUGAAAGCAUCUAAGCGGGAAACUUGCCUCAAGAUGAGAUCUCACUGGAGCCUUGAGCUCCCUGAAGGGCCGUCGAAGACUACGACGUUGAUAGGUUGGGUGUGUAAGCGCUGUGAGGCGUUGAGCUAACCAAUACUAAUUGCCCGUGAGGCUUGACCAUAUAACACCCAAACAAUU
rnacentral:rRNA from 1 species